UUUAGGGUUCAGCAUCCGCACGAUGUAGUAGCUGUCUCUCGAGCUGUGGGAUUUGGGAACGUGGGUGGUGUAGAAUCGUGCAAUGAUGGGAUCUUUGUGUUGGAUCCGGAGGAGGAUAGUGCAUAAUAUAGCCUGUGAUGUUAUGUUGUGUUUGACGAUGGAAGAAGCGGUGUAAUGGGAUCGGGAGUAGUGUUCCGGGUGGCAGUUGUUUUAAUUCUGGUCAAAGGUCUCGGUUCUACAGUGUUUCCUUUAUUUAGGCUAAGGUGGGUGGCACGCUUAUCGCAGUGAGUAGUUUCGAAUGAGUUUCCGUUUCUCAUCGUGUCAUAACUUGUAGUGGUCGCAGUGGACUUCGCUUGCAUGCACCAUGCUGACUUCGACUGUUAUGUGAAUACGUCUUUCGUAAUGAGUCAUCUCCGGAAUCGUUUAACGCAGUGAACAUUGAGUACCAUGGCUUCGAUCAUUGUCUUGUGUCCCUUGUAACAGGGAUCAAGCUCUGGUCAAGUUACCAGAUCCUGGAGAAUCGAAACGCGGAACUGGAAUGCACAUAGAAAGUGGAGUCAUGCGAGUUUGUGUGGACAGCUGGAAUUGUCAAGCGUGACUUUUGUAGAUAAUCCUCAUUCAAGACCCAUCGUUACAUUUAUUAGAACAGAUCAUUCCACACUAGUCUUCUUUGCCCAUAGGAACCUUUCGCCUGUUUCAGCGAGGGUCGGGUCCAUGCUUUCUCCUGCUUCAAUUUCAUAUUAUUCCACACUCGCAAUGAAGCCAUUCUAGUGUGCAGCUCCAGUGUUCUAUCUCAAAUGCUCUGCUUUGACGAAGACGGUUAUGAUCAUUGAGUUAAAUGGGUGCAUCGUGAAGGAUUUUCCACCUUAAUUGUACAGUUUCAUUUUAUUUGUGGAGUAAAUUUAUGCGGUUUUAUCGUAAAGAACGUUGGAGAAAGGCAUGUGCUCAGGAGGGAAGAAAAACCGGACCAUGGUGAAGUGCGCUCAUGAGUUCUGUGUAUCUUACAAUUCAUGCUGAGAAGUUCGAGGUUCAAGCUGGGCUCUCACGGCUGACGGGCAUCACUGGGCGUACUUUGCAUAGCAACAAAGACAUCCUUUUUUGUGACUCUCCAGGGAUCGCGAAGUCUUUGCGGGCGUUGGAGGAGCUCCGCUUUCUGUCUCACUGACGAGACGAUCCUCGGUGAAGGUGGUGACACUGCAUUGGACACUCAUAUCAUGCUUGAUCAGGAGAAAAUGUUCUGACCACUCGGGACCCUGGAGCCGGCGUGACCAAGGAUGACCUCGAGAAGAACCUUGGUACCAUUGCCAAAUCGGUGAUAUCAGGUACGUAUGAAUUAAGUCAAAGUCAACAGCUCCACCUGACGUGUGUGUGGUUUCGAACAAUAUUGGUUUUGUGAUCCCACCUGGGCAGCUUUUUGAAGGAAUGUUUUCGUCCGCUUACUAUUCCCCCUUUGCAAGGUAGAGCAGAAUCUUGUCUCCGGUAUCUGGUGCAGCUUUCUAAGAGCAGAUGCAAAAUAGAACGAGGUCUGAACGUCAUGGGUCAAUUUGGAGUGAAUUUCUGGUCGGUGUACUGGGCUGCUGAUCACGUCGAAGUUAUAAGCAAGCUCAAUGAUGACGUGCUGCGUGUUACUCUCUUCAUGACUCUCUCGGUCUUGUCAACUGAGCAAUAAAUUCUGAGCCAGCGGCUAUCUGUGAAGAGAUCGUAUGUAUGUCUGAUCAGAAUCCAUGUUUAGAAUUUGGCUCUAUUGCAGAAAUUUGUAAAAAUAUAUCAAAAUAAAGUAAACUGGAUUGCCCCUUUGCGGGACAAGUAACGUAAACCGCAUCUCCUUCGAACGUUGGCCGUGCGGGAAUUGGUUAAGAUGUAGUCAGAGUUCGUCAGCUUCUGGGCCACGGAAGGGGAUGAUGCUGAACUGCCUUUUGAGGAGACCGAGGCGAAGAAACAGAAUGAGAUUGGGGGUACAAACUUUGAGCAUGGGAAAUCUUCUGAUGAAAAUGCAACUGGCGAUUUACACAAUGUCUAAAUUCAUCGUGAAUUACAAAGAUCGAAAACCAAGUGUCAAAGAAAUCAAAUAGGACUGGGAGAUUCUUAAACUGAAGCCAAAGGCUGUUUGGCUUCGGUGCCCAAAGGAUUUAAUAGCAGAAGAAGGUGACAAGUUCUACCACCCCAUGACUUGCAGUAGCAAUCGCCCGCAUGUCAUUGUGAGUGUUUUUAGCCAGAGCAGUUCCGUACUUAGAGCUGGAAAUAUUGUGGGACUCUUAGCCGUAAGUGCCGAAUAGUCAUGUUGUGAGAAUGUCGGGGCUCUCCUAUUAUUAUUGGAGAGCAAGAUUACCAAUAUUGUUGUGCUAAACUGCAUAGUUAUUGUUAACGUCCUUGGAUUGAGAUAGCCUUGAAUGUAUGUCCUUUGGCCAUGUUGGGCUCCAAGCAGCACGAGCAUGCUUCUCAUGUGAUAUUCAUAUCGUGAAUGUAUCUCGAGGAAUGUUGCAGCAACAAAGCGGCUCAAAAACUAUCAAGAACUUGCUUUCCCGUGAAACCUCGGAUUAAUUCUGGUAAUCUAGAUGAGAACUUUGAUUGCAAAAAUGACAGGUUAUCCCAUAUCGAAUGUUUGAGCUCUCUAAUGUCAUGGAAUAUUGAUGUUUUCAGCCUGAACAUUUUGUUGAAGAUGUCAACGUUUGCGAAUAAUUUUCCUUUUUGCAGAGGAUGGCGAAAGGAGACUGUUAGGAAGGCCAAACAUGUUCAUCAUUGAGUUCAUCUUGCUAAGUUUCUACGGAUUUCCAGGUGAAUUUUAAAUUUCGGUAGCAGCUAGUCAAAUGUUGUCAACUUUUUCUGACACAUGGUUUGAACUCUUGCAGUACGACAUUUUUUCAAGUUGUUCGCUGUACAGGUAUUCCGUUUAUGCUUAUCGCUGUGCAGGAUGUAGAUCGAUGAUGAUCUAGUGAAAUUAUGUACCUGUAAGUCUGAACUGGACAAGAACUUCCCAAUCGUCGUGUAAACACGUCUCACAUUUGAUUGCAAAUUUUAUCUUAUUGGACAGGUGGAGUUUUCAGAAGAACAUAUCAAUAAAGAAUUGAACAUGGCAUGUGGCUACACAUCUAUGUAUGAAAUGUACAUGACGUCACAAAAAUCUCAGAUGUGAAACUUCUCGUGUACAGUUUUUGUCUCAUUUUCUGUUCAACCCUCUUCAGUAGUCUUGAAGGUGUCAUGAAAGGAAAAGCAGGACCAGUACUCCUCUGACAGGACUCCUUAAAACACCAAGCCUUCGUAAACGAUUUCGUGGUGACCUCCUAUUGCUGGAAUCGUGUGGUCCUCAGCUGAACAGCAUGGGCUCUAAUAGAGAGUCCAUUACGUAACAUGAAUCAUGGAUGCGAAAAAUUCUGCACCGCGUCUCAAGUCCAUGGAAUCUAUCUAAACGGCCUAGGCUUCGGUGGCAAAAGCAGCCACGAGAGCUUCAUAGCCAGAAGAAUCCUCAAUCAUUAAGGGCGGUGUGUUUCAACUUUUUUGUUUCCUUUCCGUCUGAGCAGUUAGUUGGAAACAAAGGGGGAAAAAAAAAAAAAAAAAAAAAAAAAAAAAGGCCUUUACGAAUAGGAACUGAUAAUUCUGAUGGUGUUUUUCGAAAAGCUUGUGUCCGCUACCGUAUGCCCGGAUCUAGUUGAACAGGGACUACGCUCCAUUUCAUCCAACAAUGUUCGUAAUCGUGUUUGGGUAUUUCACCCAUCCACAAUUGAAGUAAAUAUCACGGGCAGAUUAACCGUUGUAGUUUACAUUU